AUGUUGUGUGAAAGGAAAGAGAUUAAAAGGAUGGGAAAGGUCCUAGUAGUCUAUACAAGACACAGGUAAUAAUGGCAUUGCCAUUUAGUUUGUGGCAUCUAGCUUCUUUUU